GGGGCUUUAGCUCAGUUGGUAGAGCGUCUGCUUUGCACGCAGAAGGCCAACGGUUCGAAUCCGUUAAGCUCCACGA
rnacentral:tRNA from 1 species